UGGGGAAUCUUGCGCAAUGGGCGAAAGCCUGACGCAGCAACGCCGCGUGUGUGAUGAAGGUCUUCGGAUCGUAAAGCACUGUCGCGAGGGACGAAUAAGGGGCGGGCUAACAUCCCGUUCCGAUGACGGUACCUCGCGAGGAAGCACCGGCUAACUCUGUGCCAGCAGCCGCGGUAAUACAGAGGGUGCAAGCGUUGUUCGGAAUUAUUGGGCGUAAAGCGCGUGUAGGCGGCCUAGCAAGUCGGGUGUGAAAGCCCUCGGCUUAACCGAGGAAGUGCGCCCGAAACUACUAGGCUUGAGUACCGGAGAGGGUGGCGGAAUUCCCGGUGUAGAGGUGAAAUUCGUAGAUAUCGGGAGGAACACCAGCGGCGAAGGCGGCCACCUGGACGGAUACUGACGCUGAGACGCGAAAGCGUGGGGAGCAAA
rnacentral:rRNA from 1 species